rnacentral:lncRNA from 1 species
AGGUUCUGAAGAUCAUCAGAGCUGCAUUCGAGACACGUGAAGCACUCAGCAGCGUGCUUCUCCCUUGAAAGCAGUGGUGGCGUUGCUUUAAGCUAGACCUGAGAGCCUCCUGCAGCCCUCCACUGAUCUGGAGAACUAAAUAUGAGAUGUUACUAGAAGUUUUAUUUUCUCAAUGUUUAAUGUUUGCAAUCUUGCUAGCUUCUUGUUAGUUGUUACUUUAUUGUCUCUCCGAACGUCAGUUGUAGACGUAUAUCGCCUACUUAGGGGGUGUUUGGUUUUAGGGACUUUUUUGUGUUGGGACUAAAAAAGUCCCUAGCAAACCAAACAGGAUGAGACUUUUUUGAAACUUUUUGCUAAAAGUUCUUAGAAGCACCUCCUUGAAAGUCUUUUUCAAAAAGUCCUAGGGACUAGAAAAAGUCCUAGGACUAGACAACCAAACACCACCUCAAUUUGAUUCUGAAAUGAACUUUAUUACACUUUCUAGUUUCUACUCGUACAGAUCAAAUAACUAGCUGACUAAGAUUAGAU